GAUGAACGCUAGCGGCGUGCUUGAGAUAUGCAAGUCGAGCGUCUUUAAGCUGAAAAAGGAGCGGCAGACGGCUGAGUAAUACAUAGGUAUUUGCCCCUUUCUUGGUGAUAGCCCCGCGAAAGCGGGGGUAAUAAUCAAUGAUUCCCAGCUUUGCUGGUAUAAAGAACUUAACUGUUUGGAAAGGGAUAAGCCUGUGGCCUAUCAGGUAGUUGGUAGGGUAAUGGCCUUCCAAGCCUAUAACGGGUAGCUGGCCCGAGAGGGUGGUCAGCCAGAGGGGUACUGAGACACGGACCCCACUCCUACGGGAGGCAGCAAUCAGGAAUAGUCGGCAAUGGGCGAAAGCCUGACCGCGCGACGCCGCGUGCGAGAUUAAGCUCUAACGAGUGUAAAUCGCUGUUGUAAAGGAAGAAGUCCUCCGAUUCGGAGGAUUGACGGUACUUUAUUAGAAAGGGGCCGCUAACUGCGUGCCAGAAGCGUCGGUAAUACGUGGGCCCCGAGCGUUAUCCGGUUUUACUGGGCGUAAAGAGUCGUGUAGGUGCCUUAUAAAGUCCUAUUUUAAAUACUAAGGCUAAACUUUAGGAAAAGGUAGGAUACUCAUAAGGUUGAGUUGUCUUUAGGGAGACUGGAACUUAGGGAGGAGUAGUGAAAUGCGUUGAUACCCUAGGGAACACCAGUGGCGAAGGCGAGUCUCUGGAAGACAUCUGACACUGAGACACGAGAGCUAGGGGAGCGAAGCAGAUUAGAGACCUGCGUAGUCCUAGCCCUAAACGCAUGCUUGCUAGCUGCACCUUUCCAGCACUGUAACGACAAUUUAUUUUAUCGUUACAGUGCUGGAUAGAUGUGGCGUAGGUAACCCGAUAAGCAAGCCGCCUGGGGAGUACGGCCGCAAGGCUAAAACUCAAAGGAAUUGGCGGGGAGGCACACAACCAGUGGAACAUGUGGUUCAAUUCGAUACGAACCGAAGAACCUCACCAGGGUUUGACAUCUUAGCGUUCUAUUUCAUAGAAAUAUGAGAAAUCCGCAAGGAGGCUAAGACAGGUGCUGCAUGGCUGUCGUCAGCUCGUUCCGUGAGGAGUGCCCUUAAGUGGGACAACGAGCGCAACCCCUAUUUUGUGUUAAAUCUAUCACAAAAGACUGCCCUCGAGUAAUUCGGGGGAGGAAGGCGGGGCAGACGUCAAGUCAGCAUGGUCCUUAUACCCUGGGCUACACACAUGUUACAAUGAGAAGUACAGUGAGUUUCGCCACUUAGCAAUAAGGAGCAAAUCUCAAAAACUUUUCUCAGUUGGGAUUGGGGUCUGCAACUCGACCCCAUGAACUCGGAAUUGGUAGUAAUCGUGGAUCAGUCACGCCACGGUGAAUACGUUCUUGCCUCUUGCACACACCGCCCGUCAAGCCAACAAAGUCGGAAAAAUUUGAACUCCGACGUUAAGUCGGAGGAGGAUUUUUUUGGCGAUGGGGGUU
rnacentral:rRNA from 1 species